ACUCAAAUGAAUAGACGGGGGCUCACACAAGCGGUGGAGGAUGUGGUUUAAUUCGAAGCAACGCGAAGAACCUUACCAGGUCUUGACAUACCGGGAUUAGUGGUGUGAAAGCAUCAUGAUUGCCCUCAAGGUGUAACCGGAACAGGUGCUGCAUGGCUGUCGUCAGCUCGUGCCGUGAGGUGUUAGGUUAAGUCCUUUAACGAGCGAAACCCCUACGUUCAGUUACCAUCAGGUGAAGCUGGGGACUCUGGACGGACUGCCGCGAAAGUAGGAGGAAGGUGGGGACGACGUCAAGUCAUCAUGGCCUUUAUGACCUGGGCUACACACGUCCUACAAUGGGUGGUACAACGGGAAGCAGAACCGCAAGGCGAAGCCAAUCCCUGAAAGCCACCCUCAGUUCAGAUUGUGGGCUGCAAUUCGCCCACAUGAAGCUGGAAUCGCUAGUAAUCGCGGAUCAGCUACGCCGCGGUGAAUAUGUUCCUGAGCCUUGUACACACCGCCCGU
rnacentral:rRNA from 1 species